CACAUUCCUCGGCCUUGACAUCACCCGGACUGCAGGAAAGGACGCUGCCUCAAUAGCGGAGUGGCUGUGUGCGGGAAGAGGCCCCCCCUGACCCCGGCAGUCUGGCUGGCGGACCUCGGCAGCGUGGGGGCCCCCGCCAUCUCUGACAGCAGAAGCCCCCCACAACAAUGCAAUCAAAGGGAUGCUUUACAUACCACAUGUUGUUUUGCGGUAUAAAUUAGACGGCGAUGCCCGGCGAUCGUUAAGAUGGAUUAUCCCCCCGUAGACGGGCCAUAUGGAAAUUUAGGUCACAUGCUGAAUGUAAAUAUUAUGCUUUGCAAAAUUGCAGCAUGAGACUCGACUGAUGGCUUGUUUGAAAUUUUGUUUUGUGGCCUGUAGCGGUGCUGCUCUGGCUAGACUUCAUAAUCAUCUUAUGAAUACACAAUGACAGCUUGGCAGCAUGCGCGUCUUAUUGUGCGCGUAUACGUUAGCAUGUAACAUUUAGAUUUCUCUUCCCAAGUGUUGCUUCCUCUCUUUCUUUGUCCCGUUCUGUCCCUGUGAACUUCUGAUUGGCUAAUUGGAGUGAGUAAAGAUCCCUCGACAACAGGAGAUCAAGCAUUUUUCUCUCUGUUGAUGUUUGAAUGAGCUGUUAACACCCCCACUGACAGAAAAUAGAGACAUGUAAGGUUUGGGGUAUUCUGCACGUUUUCAGAAAAGCUUUUUGUUGGACUUGAUUCACUUUGAGGCCUCCUCGAAGGCCACUUUGGAGAUGACGUGAUGAUGUGUUUUUCCCGUCAGUAGAGGUGCUAAUGACCUGAUUGGGAUCCACCUGGAAAGCUGCCUUCCACCUGUCGAGCUGGCCAAUCAGAGGUGGUGUUGCUGCAGCUUAAAACCAGGCCUGUUGUCAGAUCAGGGGUUUGCUUUGUUGCUUUGUCUGUGAGACUUGUGUUUUGUUUGCUGUCAUCUUUGAUUCUGUGGUGGUGAGAUUGGGACUUUAGAUAAGUUGGGUACCCUACAUUAAGGACAUUUUGUUGGACGCUCCAGGGUUAUUGGUUGGUGCCACCUGUGUAUUUAUUUCAAAGCUCUGUUUGUAGAGAAAUUGGUUCGGUCUUUUGAAUGGGUUUGUUUUGUGAUAUAUAAGGAGUUAGUCAGGCCUUGUUUGUUUUCUUAUUUUUAAUUAUUUAGCACCACCUCUUCCUCCCGUCUCUUUUGUGAGCCUUUGUUGCACAUUUUUGUUGAAGCACUGUUAAAAUAAAAUUCUAAUUUUAUUCACA